UGCCAGACUCCUACGGGAGGCAGCAGUGGGGAAUAUUGCACAAUGGGGGAAACCCUGAUGCAGCGACGCCGCGUGAGCGAUGAAGUAUUUCGGUAUGUAAAGCUCUAUCAGCAGGGAAGAAAAUGACGGUACCUGACUAAGAAGCCCCGGCUAACUACGUGCCAGCAGCCGCGGUAAUACGUAGGGGGCAAGCGUUAUCCGGAUUUACUGGGUGUAAAGGGAGCGUAGACGGCUGUGCAAGCCAGAUGUGAAAGCCCGGGGCUCAACCCCGGGACUGCAUUUGGAACUGUGUGGCUGGAGUGUCGGAGAGGCAGGCGGAAUUCCUAGUGUAGCGGUGAAAUGCGUAGAUAUUAGGAGGAACAUCAGUGGCGAAGGCGGCCUGCUGGACGAUGACUGACGUUGAGGCUCGAAAGCGUGGGGAGCAAACAGGAUUAGAUACCCUAGUAA
rnacentral:rRNA from 1 species